rnacentral:tRNA from 1 species
GUGGCACAAUGGUUAAGUGCUCGGCUGCUAACCGAAAAGUUGGAGGUUCAAAUCCACCC